CAGCAGCCGCGGGAAUGCGGAGGGGGCUAGCGUUAUUCGGAAUUACUGGGCGUAAAGCGCACGUAGGCGGCUUUGUAAGUUAGAGGUGAAAGCCUGGAGCUCAACUCCAGAAUUGCCUUUAAGACUGCAUCGCUCGAAUCCAGGAGAGGUGAGUGGAAUUCCGAGUGUAGAGGUGAAAUUCGUAGAUAUUCGGAAGAACACCAGUGGCGAAGGCGGCUCACUGGACUGGUAUUGACGCUGAGGUGCGAAAGCGUGGGGAGCAAACAGGAUUAGAUACCCCUGUAGUCCCUGUCUCUUAUAC
rnacentral:rRNA from 1 species